AACUUUCAACAACGGAUCUCUUGGUUCUCGCAUCGAUGAAGAACGCAGCGAAAUGCGAAAAGUAGUGUGAAUUGCAGAAUUCCGUGAAUCAUCGAAUCUUUGAACGCACAUUGCGCCUCACAGUAUUCUGUUAGGCAUGCCUGUUCGAGCGUUAUUGACAAAAGGUGCAAGCUAUAUUGCUUGGUCAUGGUGGAUGAGCACUUGUAGAGGUGCUCACCAUUGAAAUUGAAUGGCAGAUAACUAUCAGCAACACAGAGCGUUAUAUGUACUAGACACUCGCCUUGGUUGCUGGUGGAGUCCUGCCCAUCAACCCCCCUUCAAUACUUCGUGUUGACCUCGGAUCAGGUAGGGAUACCCGCUGAACUUAAGCAUAUCAAUAAGCGGAGGCU
rnacentral:misc_RNA from 1 species